rnacentral:rRNA from 1 species
UACGUAGGCAGCGAGCGUUGUUCGGAGUUACUGGGCGUAAAGAGUGCGUAGGCGGUUUUCUAAGUUUGGUGUGAAAUCUCCCGGCUUACUGGGAGGUGCGCCGAAGACUGGAAGGCUUGAGUAUGGGAGAGGUAAGCGGAAUCCUGGUGUAGCGGUGAAAUGCGUAGAUAUCAGGAGGAACACCUGCGGUGUAGACGGCUUACUGGACCAUCACUGACGCUGAGGCACGAAAGCGUGGGUAGCAAACAGG